rnacentral:rRNA from 1 species
UGGAUCAGCAUGCCACGGUGAAUACGUUCCCGGGCCUUGUACACACCGCCCGUCACACCAUGGGAGUUGGGUUUACCCGAAGGUGGUGCGCUAACCAGCAAUGGAGGCAGCCAACCACGGUAGGCUCAGCGACUGGGGUGAAGUCGUAACAAGGUAGCCGUAGGGGAACCUGCGGCUGGAUCACCUCCUUU